UUUUUUACAUCACUAGUCACUUUGUUAAUCAAAAUAUUAGAAAAAACUCCAUUUCCGCCUCGAAAGUGCAUUUCGCGAUCGCGCAAAAGUGUUAAUAGGCGCGCGACUUGUUUGUUGAUCCUAAAAGCGCUAGCGGGCGAUGAAAAUCAAGCGCAAAGCCCUCGUUUUUUCUUCUUAAACUUUUACUUACGGCAGACACGCACACGCACGCAGCUCACCGACGCACUCGCGCACACACAACUACACGCACGCGGAGAGCAGAGCAGCAAGAGGAAAAGGAAGAAGAAGCAGAUCAUCAAACUGAAAAUUUGCGAGAUUCCUUGGCACCGCAUAGCCGUGACUGAGAGGAGGAGGAAUUGCACCCGCCCGGCACACAGCACACAGCAUGUUCAGUGAACAUGGGCGGAUUCCUGGAUAAGCCGAAAACCGCCAAGCACAAUGACGAGGGCGAGGGCAACAAGCUGCUCUUCGGGGUCAGCUCGAUGCAGGGAUGGCGGUCGGAGAUGGAGGACGCCUACUACGCUCGUGCCGGGCUGGGUGAUGCCCUGCCGGACUGGAGCUUCUUUGCCGUGUUCGACGGACAUGCCGGAUGCAAGGUGUCGGAGCACUGUGCCAAGCACCUGCUGCAGAGCAUUAUCAGCACCGAGGAGUUCAUUGGAGGCGACCACGUGAAGGGCAUACGCACCGGCUUCCUGCGCAUCGACGAGGUUAUGCGGGAGCUGCCGGAAUUCACUCGGGAGUCGGAGAAAUGCGGCGGAACCACAGCCGUGUGCGCCUUUGUCAGCCUCACGCAAGUGUACAUCGCCAAUUGUGGUGAUUCCAGGGCAGUCUUGUGCCGUCAGGGAGUCCCGGUGUUCGCCACGCAGGAUCACAAACCCAUUCUGCCGGAGGAGAAAGAGCGCAUCUACAAUGCGGGUGGCAGUGUGAUGAUAAAGCGCGUAAACGGCACCCUAGCUGUUUCGAGAGCCCUUGGCGAUUACGACUUCAAGAACGUGAAGGAGAAGGGACAGUGCGAGCAGUUGGUAUCGCCAGAACCGGAGAUAUUCUGUCAGAGCCGCCAGGAUAGCGAUGAGUUCCUGGUGCUCGCUUGCGAUGGAAUCUGGGAUGUGAUGACCAACGAGGACGUGUGCAGCUUCAUUCACUCGCGAAUGCGAGUGACCAGUAACCUAGUGAGCAUCGCCAACCAGGUGGUCGACACCUGCCUGCACAAGGGUAGCCGCGAUAACAUGAGCAUCAUCAUCAUUGCCUUCCCCGGAGCUCCGAAGCCCACCGAGGAGGCGAUAGAGGCUGAACAUCGGCUGGAGAAGCAAAUCGAGAAGAUCACAAGAGACGAGAUAGAGUCUAGCAAGAUAACCGACUACGUGGAUCUGCUAAAAUGCCUGCAGAACCGAGACGACAUCGAAGGUCUUCCACCCGGAGGCGGUCUGCAGUCCAAAUAUCACGUUAUCGAGCGCACAUUCAAGCAAGAGUUUCCGGAUCGACCAUGUGAACUGUAUGCAUAUGAUGAUAUAUGAAUUUUGUAAUGCUAAUUGUUCAUUUUUAAACCAACCAACCAACAACCAACCAGCAAGAGAACAAAGAUAACUAAACACCCUAUGCUUCACAUACUCUAAAUAGUCCAACGCAUUAGGUUGCAGUCGAAACACGAAACAAAACCAGUUAAACAAAUGCAGCAACCAGAACAGAACAGAUCAGAGCAGAGCAGAACAGAAAGCAGAGCCACACAACUUGAACGAAGCAAACAUACAAGAACACACACCAAACAGUUUUCUACUUUGAUAAACACAAAAGAAAAACCUACUAAUAAUGAUAAUAAUAAGAGUAACGAUACAUUUAUAGUUUGUACGAAGCAGUCCUAAACACAACAAUACGAAC
rnacentral:misc_RNA from 1 species